rnacentral:rRNA from 1 species
GAUGAACGCUAGCUACAGGCUUAACACAUGCAAGUCGAGGGACCGGCGCACGGGUGAGUAACACGUAUCCAACCUGCCCUUUACUCGGGGAUAGCCUUUCGAAAGAAAGAUUAAUACCCGAUAUAAAGGAUGGGGAUGCGUUCCUUUAGGUUGUUGGUGAGGUAACGGCCCACCAAGCCGUCGAUGGAUAGGGGUUUUGAGAGGAAGGUCCCCCACAUGGGAACUGAGACACGGUUCAAACUCCUACGGGAGGCAGCAGUGAGGAAGAUUGGUCAAUGAGCGGUAGCCUGCACCAGCCAAGUAGCGUGAAGGAUGAAGGCUUAUGGGUCGUAGACUUCUUUUAUAUAAGAAUAUGUAUUGUAUGAAUAAGGAACGGCUAACUCCGUGCCAGCAGCCGCGGUAAUAC